GCGUGAAGCAGUGGCAGAGGGUCUGCGGACGGAGACACUGGACGUCUUAUCACUUUAAACGGGGAAGAUGACACAGUUGUCUUCUGCGGCUGAUGCCAUAACACAGAGGGGAUGUCGGCAGACAGCGGUCCCGAGUUCUGGGCACCGGACCAAGAGACCAUCGCAUCCUUGAUCCCACGAGCGGGAAACCUCGGCUCUGGGAGACCCUGCGAGACUUUGUAUAGCCCUGCUGGGGGCCACCGGAAGUCUGUUGUUGUCCCAUAAAGAUUGUCAACCACUCGUAAUUGAAUCCAAUUAGAAGGAGAUUGUCUAACUUUAAACAAAUGGCGAACCAAGGAAGCAAUCUCUGUGACUGCCUGCCUCGCUGAUGGAGAGUCAGUUCUGAGCUCAGUGA